rnacentral:lncRNA from 1 species
UGGUUUGGACUUAUUUCUGAUUUCUUUGGGUAUGGAGGAAGUAUUUUGUGAAAGCUCAGCUUGAUCCCUAGAGUUAGCAAAACUCCUUUAAGACACAGUGAUAUCUAGUCUUAGUGAUGCAUUAGAUUGUCUAGAGAUGUACCUGAAUAAAGCUGGUGACUGAGAAAAUGUCAAAAUACAUGAGAUGUAUCUCAUUAUUAGCUUUUUCUUUAAACUACAGUGACCUUUAUUAUUUACCAGACAUGACCUUCUGGUCAUCUCAUCUUUCCCCAUCUCUGCACAUCUCUUCCACUUGUAUUAUCGCAGCUCUGAUUUAAAAAAUUCCUGUUCAACUAUGGCCUAAUCUUUGAAGUAUUGCAAUUUUUUUGACAUUAAUAUUUUAGAAUCAUCUAAUUUUUUCUUUUCUGAAAAUACUUAGAAGCAUGUCAGUCUUCACUUUAUUCAACUGGAACAUAAUUUACAUUUAUCUCUCUGUCCCAAACAAAUUUAAGACAAAUCUGUGCAAAGUAGCAUGGAGAGAGCCAACCACUUCAGGUGCUCUUGCCUGGGAGUGCUUGUACUGCGGAGUCUGGAGAGUUGUUCCCGGGCAGCAGAACCAUGCUGAGGCUUGAGGGAGUACUCUGGCCACUGACUACUGGGACAGAACGAAAGCGGGAAAGGGAAAAGGUGUUGGGGUCACCUGAGAGAGCCUCUGUGUCAUCUCCAGCUGGGAACAGUGUCCUUUGCCUGCUGCCAAUGUGCUGCAAACUGGCCCUAGAGGUAAAGAUUGCCAGAGAGGUAAUCUACUGUCAGUAUGUCCUCGGUCGGGCCUUUAGUGAAAUAGUUCUGAAGGCAAAGGAAGUUCUCUAAACUCCUCUGUUCGUGUGGGCUGUUCCUGCUCUUUCCAGAGCUGAUGCUGUUUGGGAGGUGCAGUGAAGUACCUUGAGCCUCCUAGGUCUUUAUGCAGAGAACGGAAGUGAUUUAAUGAAGAAGUGCAAAUGAAUGCAUGAGUGGAAAGAGGUGAGGGGCACAAGGGAGAGAAUGCACAUAUUUGUGCAUGACCUGGCACCACCUUGCAGAUGUUACACAGCUCCACAAAGCAAUGAGCUGG